ACAAAAAGAAAACCCUAAACCUCCUUCCCUUCUCCGUUUCUUCUUCUUCUUCCCUUAUCCACCAGCCGCCGCCCGCCAAUCCCACCUCAGCUCCAGCGACAACACUUCGUGGCGGCGCAUUGUUCCUCCGACGAGUCCCCGACGACGGCAGCAACAUGUUGCAAUUAACCCAGACGACGACGUUCCUUGAUUCAUCAGCGUGACGCGUCUCCUACGAGCGUUUCCAUCGUCGAGCGGCGGCACGGCGCGGCUUCGUGUUUUCUUGCCAGCUCCGGCGGUCUCGACGGCGGCUUCCCUUCUCCAGCGCUUUUCAUUCUCGACGACGACAUCACUACGGCAGCGCAAUCAAAUCUGACGACAGCUUCUUGUUUGCAGCCAGAUUCUACGGGUUCUCGGCGUCUCUCCGAUAUUCUGCAGCAUGGACAGCAGCGGAUAACACAAUGAUCUGCUACUCAAGCGUCUUUCGGUGACAAUCUGUGUCGGCAGCUCAAGACCCGCGAUGGUUCUCGACGAACAGAGCAGUCCGGCGACGUCCUCCAUCUGCAACCAACAGCCAGCAUGCGUUAGCUCGAGUCCAGUGAUCUCGAGCUCAAUUUUGUGACGUAUUAUUCAUUCCGGCGACUUUCGACACUUCCCCACUCUUCUUUGAAUUCAAAUUAGUGCUACCCACCCAUCCGACAUUGUUUUGGCAUUAACCCACACCAUGUCGACCUUAGAUUUACAAGCUGCAACGCGUUCACCAUCAUUCAGUGAUGUUCAGUGGGUUUCGAGCCAACGCAAAGGCUAGGAGCUUGUAGGCAUGUCUGGAGAUCAGGUUCACGGUGAUGGUGAUGGUGCGGGGGAGACUCGAGAAGAAGGACCAUAGUUAACUUCCGUUUAGUUUUAACUUGUCUAAAAUAGGUCUUUAGGAGUCUUGAUGGUUUAGUUUAUUUCUCAUGUUUUGAGUAUCGACUUGUGUAAAGCUCAGGGGGUUGGUAUAAUGUUUUAGAUGACUUUUCUUUUAAGUAUGAACUUCUGUAAAGAUUAUGUCAUUGGUUUCAUUGAGACGCUUAGGGAGUAUGUUUAAUGUUGUUGGAUUCACUAACUUUUUAAGAUUGAAGCAUGGAUUAAUCGUUUUGGUUUGGUGUUAUUA